GUUGGUUGGCCUCUAAACCAAGGAGCAUAGAGAUGUUGGUAUGGCAUGAAGGUGAAAUAUAGGAGUACAUUCAUUGAACGUGACCAACUUUAGAGCACUCGAUUGUCAAGAGUCACUCUGAAAGGGUAUGGGUAUAAGUGUCCCUCCGAUCUGAGGUCAUCACAGUGACUUGCAAGCAACUCACUAUGCUUUGGUGUUGGACUACCUAAAUUUUUAAUUCAGAAUCGGAUGGUUUUUGGGUACAGUUAAGUACUUGUGAAGUCGGUGUGUGAGUCAAGAUAAAAUUGACCACUCCAAGAGAUUGGAAAGAAUUCUUUGUAUUUCAAUUUAGUAAGAUUUUGACCAAGACAAUCCUUGUGAGGAGUUACAGAAUUUAUCAGAUUGAGACAUAUAAUGGAUGUACUGUUAAGAGUUGACAGUUUAAACUCUAAGUCAUCCUAGCAUCAAGGGUGAAAGGGAU
rnacentral:lncRNA from 1 species